GCCCUGAUAGUAUAAUCAAUUACUUUGGUCUUGUAAACCAAGAAUGAAGAAAUAACCUUCUUAGGGCA
rnacentral:tRNA from 1 species